rnacentral:rRNA from 1 species
AUUGAACGCUGGCGGCAGGCUUAACACAUGCAAGUCGAGCGGGGUGAUGGUGCUUGCACUAUCACUUAGCGGCGGACGGGUGAGUAAUGCUUAGGAAUCUGCCUAUUAGUGGGGGACAACAUCUCGAAAGGGAUGCUAAUACCGCAUACGUCCUACGGGAGAAAGCAGGGGAUCACUUGUGACCUUGCGCUAAUAGAUGAGCCUAAGUCGGAUUAGCUAGUUGGUGGGGUAAAGGCCUACCAAGGCGACGAUCUGUAGCGGGUCUGAGAGGAUGAGCCGCCACACUGGGACUGAGACACGGCCCAGACUCCUACGGGGGGCAGCAGUGGGGAAUAUUGGACAAUGGGGGGAACCCUGAUCCAGCCAUGCCGCGUGUGUGAAGAAAGCCUUAUGGUUGUAAAGCACUUUAAGCGAGGAGGAGGCUCUUUUGGUUAAUACCCAAGAUGAGUGGACGUUACUCGCAGAAUAAGCACCGGCUAACUCUGUGCCAGCCGCCGCAGUAA